GUCUAAGUAUGAACUAAUUCAAACUGUGAAACUACGGAUGGCUCAUUAAAUCAGUUAUAGUUUCUUUGAUGGUACCCUACUACUCAUAUAAUCGUAGUAAUUCUAGAGCUAAUACGUGCACCAAGUCUUGACUCUUUGGAAGGGAUGCAUUUAUCAGAUAAAAGGCAAGUGCAGGCUUGCCUGCUUCUCUGGUGAAUCAUUGAUCUGGAUUUUAUGAGAAGAACGAAAUGAAUACAGAUUAUUAACAGGUGAUUAACACAAAAUAGCAGAG
rfam:Picea glauca, whole genome shotgun sequence.